CCUGGUUGAUCCCACCAAUAGUUUUAUGCUUGUCUUAAAGACUAAGCCAUGCAUGUGUUAGUAUGAACUAAUUCAGACUAUGAAACUACGAAUGGCUCAUUAAAUCAGUUAUAGCUUGUUUGAUGGUACCUGCUACUCAGAUAAUCGUAGUAAUUAUAGAGCUAAUACAUGGAACAAACCCCGACUUUUGGAAAGGAUGCAUUUAUUAGAUAAAAGGGUGUCGCGGGAUAUGCCCGUUGCUCAGAUGAUUCAUGAUAACUCAAUGAAUCACACAACCUUAGUGCUGACGACACAUCAAUCAAAUUUCUACUCUAUCAACUUUUGAUGGUAGGAUAGUGGCCUACUAAGGUUAUGACAGGUGACAAAAAAUUAGGGUUCAAUUUCAGAGAGGGAGCCUGAGAAACAGCUACCAUAUCCAAGGAAGAUAACAGGCGUACAAAUUACCCAACUCUAACAUGGGGAGGUAGUGACAAUAAAUAAUAAUACCGGGCUCAACGAGACUGGUAAUUGGAAUGAGUGCAAUCUAAAUCCCUUAACGAGAAUCCAUUAGAUGGUAAGUUUAGUGCCAGCAGCCGCGGUGAUUCCAGCUCUAAUAGCAUAAGCUGUUGCAGUUAAAAAGCUUGUAGUUGGACCUAGGAAUGGGUCAAUUGGUCUGCCUUUCGGUGAGCAUCGAUCAACUCAUCCCUUUUACAGCGAUAUGCUCUUGCCUUUAAUUGGCUAGGUCGUGCCUCCAAUGUUGUUACUUUGAACAAAUUAGAGUGCUCAAAGCAAGCAUAUGCUCUAAAUGCAUUAGCAUGGGAUAACAUCAUAGGAUUUUGAUCCAAUUAUGUUGGCCUUCGGGAUUGUAGUAAUGAUUAACAGGGACAGUCGAGGUCAUUCGUAUUUCAUAGUCAGAGGUGAAAUUCUUGGAUUUAUGAAAGACGAGUAAUUGUGGAAGCAUUUUCCAAUGAUGUUUUCAUUAAUCAAGAAUAAAAGCUGGGGGCUCGAACAUGAUCAGAUACCAUCCUAAUCUUAACCAUAAACAAUGCUGACUAGGGAUCGACAGAUGUUACUUAUAGGACUCCAUUAGCACCUUAUGAGAAAUCAAAGUUUUUAGGUUCCAGAGGGAGUAUGGUCGCAUGGUUGAAACUUAAAGAAAUUAACGGAAGGGCACCACCAAUAGUGGAGCCUGUGGCUUAAUUUGACUCAACAUGGGGAAACUUACUAGGCCCAGACAUAGUAAGGAUUGAUAGGCUGAGAGCUCUUUCUUGAUUCUAUGGGGGUGGUACACGGUCGUUCCUAGUUGGUGGAGCAAUUUGUUUGGUUAAUUUCAUUAACGAACGAGACCUCAACCUGUUAACUAGCUAUGCGGAUGUGACCCUUCAUGGCCAGCUUUUGAGAAGGACUAUGGCCACUUAGGCCAAGGAAGUUUGGAGCAAUAACAGGUCUGUGAUACCCUUGGAUGUUCUAGGUCGCACGAGUAAUCUUUGAAAUUUCAUCUUGAUGAGGAUAGAUCAUUGUAAUUUUUGGUCUUCAACGAGGAAUUCCUUGUAAGUGCAAAUCAUCAGCUCACGUUGACUACAUCCCUACCCAACAGAACAACUAGCGAACCCACGAAAAACCCAUAGGGGGCUUUAGGGCCUCGUGCCCUGGAACCCUCUUUGAUC
rnacentral:rRNA from 1 species